rnacentral:tRNA from 1 species
GGUUGAGAGCAGAGUGGUUUGAGCAUUGGACUAGGACUCUGGAGACCAGGGUUCGAUUCCCAGCUUGGCCA